UUAAAUGUUCAUCACUGGAAACACCUUAUAACAUAACUCUGUGGUUAUGCUUUAUGCAAAGAACUUUCUGUUAGAUCUCCGAAAAAAAACUAGAAAGCAGAU
rnacentral:snoRNA from 1 species